rnacentral:rRNA from 1 species
AACGAACGCUGGCGGCGUGGAUAAGACAUGCAAGUCGAACGGGACUAAAUCUGUAGCAAUACAGGUUUAGUUUAGUGGCGAACGGGUGCGUAACACGUGGGCAAUCUGCCGAGAAGUGGGGGAUAGCUCGCCGAAAGGCGAAUUAAUACCGCAUAUGAUCAGUGAAGACAUCUUCACGACAUCAAAGGCCGGGGUAACCUGGCGCUUCUUGAUGACGCCCGCGGCCAUCAGCUAGUUGGUGAGGUAACGGCUCACCAAGGCUAUGGACGGGUAGCUGGUCUGAAGAGGACGACCAGUCACACUGGAACUGAGAC